UCAAAGUAUAAAGUCCUGCUGGGGCAGAGCAAUGAUGCAUCUGACCCAUGUCUGUCUUUAUCAAAGGACAUUUCUGGUACCUUUUAGUAACCCAGCAGGGAUCCGCAAUCCAUACUACAUUGCUUCUAAGAAUUUUUUUUUGGAAUCAAUGUGUAGGUGGUGUAGUAGGAAGAAAAUUGGACAGGGAGUCAGAUAGGCCCAAAUUUGCACCUAGUCUAUGUUGCUAACUAAUUGGGUAAUAAUGGCAAGACAGUUAACAUCUCUGGGCCUUAGUUUCCAGAUUUAUAAAAUGAGGGGAGAACAUCUAUGAUUUCCACUGGCCCUGACUUUGAUUUUUUCUUUAAUUAAGAAAAAAAUUUUUUUCAAUGUACAUGGCAGGCAGUAUUAUCAGAGCUUUGCACCUAUUAACUCAUUUGGUCUUCUCAAAAACCUUGUGAGGAAACUGAGGCAUAAAGAAGAUAAAUCAUUUGCCCAAAGUCACUCAGAUAGUAAGCGGUAGAGUCAAGAUUUGAACCCUGCAGGUUGACUCCAAAGCUCAUGCUCUGAAUCCCAACGCCAUGCCACCUUAUAGCUUAUGAGCCCUAGGGUGCAGGCACUGCCCUAGGCUCCACAGUGAAUAUGAAAAUGAAUAUGACAGGUCUCAGCCCUCCAGAAACUUAUGAUCUUGAAGAAUGAGAGAAUAAUAAAAGAUGCAAAUAAAGCUGUGAUCUUGAAGAAUAAAUCAUAAGUUUAACAACUGAUAUAACACAGGUACUGACAGUGGUUCCCCUGGAUGGUACAAUGGUUGUCAUAAUUCAUAUGACAGUCAAGGGAGCAUAUUUGACCAUUUCUCCAAAACACAUUUAGGCUUUGAGAAGCUUAGCAUCUAUUCCAUCAAAUGAACUGAGCUUAGAGGUUAAAUGAAAUUCACUCUCCUAUGUAAGAGAUCAACUAGACACAGGCCUGAUGGUAGAGGGGCACCAACAACUGCCCAAUAAAGGGUCCCAGCCCUCUUUGACCCCACUGAGGAACCAUUGCUACAGAGGACCUGAUGCAUGGUCCCUGAAUCCUCCAGAACCUCAGCAGAAUUUUUCUCACAAUUUCUAUCCCUUGCCACAGCAGACUGCUAACUUCAGUUCCAUGUGGGUUUCUCAGAGUCACUAAGAAAGGAAUCAGGGAGGUGAAAUGAGGACAGGAAGGAGAUCUUUGGAUUAGGGAACUCAUGUCUUAAGCAACAGCAGCAGCAGUGCCUUGUCGUGGAAAAAACAUGAUAGGAGCUAAGAAGGAGCCUCACCCUAUAAGCCAAAUACAGGUUAAACUUUGAUAUUAACAGAAAAUAAGUUUUAUUAAAUUAUUCUUUGGAUUAAUUUUUACCGAAUUAUAGUUUAUUGCAAUUAUUGGAGUUUGCCAAGACAACUCUAGAAGAAUGGGUGAAUAAAUACUCUUCCUAAUAUUGUGACAUCUCUUACCUAGCAAAGUGGGAGAAUGACAAGUUUCCACCUUAAGUUUGGGAAUAAUUGAAGAUUAACACUUAAGACAGCAGGGUGUUUUUGUUUUAUUUUAAAUAGAAGCCAUUUAAAAUAGAAACUUGUAUAAAAUACAUUACACGCUUCCCUGUCUUGGUUGCCUGUAUUUCCUGAACCUUUUCUUAAUGAGCCAGAGUCUACUUUAUGAUCAAUUACUGGUAGAAAGUAGUUGCAGAAGCCACCUAACCAGUUUCCCGGUCUUCAUUAUCUCUCCUCUCCAAUUCUUCCUUCCUGCUGAUUCUAGUUAUUUUCUUAAAGAUGGGAUCAUGUUGUUCCUCUCCUCAAGAAGAUCAGUGACUCCUUAUAGACUAAAGCCUAGACUCUGUGUCAAGACAUUCAAAUGCUCCCUCCUCAUUGACUUCUCCAUCUCCUCUCUUGCUGCAGUCUCCUACGUUCACUUCCAGUAAUCCCGGAUAGCUUGUUCCUCCCAGAAUGCACUUAAAAAAAAUUGUUUUGAUUUCCAUUGAGAACAUAGUCAGCAGAACAUACACCAAUUCAACAGUUUCUACAUGUACAAUUCCGUGACACUGAUUACAUUGUUCAAGUUGUGUAACCAUACUCACCUCCUUUUCCAAAGUGUUCCUUCACCAUUAACAUAAACUCUCUGCCUCCUAAGUUUCCUAUCUAAUCUUUCAAGUCGCUGUUGUCAAUUUUGUCCCAUAUGGAUAGAUCUUAAAAGAGAAUUAUGCUCAAAGCAGACAUUCUGUACUAGUUAAGCUAGACUGUUGUUUGGUUUUAAGAAGACUUCAGGGAUAUUUUGGUUUAAGGUUCAAAGAUUAUCUCAGGGCAAUAGUUUCAGGGGUUCAUUCAGCCCCCAUGGCUCCAGAAAGCUUGGAGUCCAUGAGAAUUUGAAAUUCUGUUCUGCAUUUUCCCCCUUUUGGUCAGGAUUCUUCUAAGGAAUCUUUAAUCAAAAUGUUCAGUAAUGAGAUGGAGCCAAUAUAGCACCAUAGACAGAUGUACCGUGCUGACCCUUUACAGCAAAGACCUGAAAAACUGAGUAAAAUAAAUACAAAUGUCAGUCCUGGAACCCUAAGCAUCGAGUGAAGGGAUAAAGAACAAGAUCAAACACCAAACGGAAGAAGAAAUGGAUGGAAAACAGAGAAUGAGGAGAGAUACAGAGUGGAGGUCCCUGCCAACUAACACGGCACAGGGUUGCCAUAUAGGAACACAACCGGCAAUAAUCCCAGACAGGGAGUAUAGAAAGGCAAAUUCACGGAGCUCCCAAUAGGUGACAGAGCACUUGGUAACCAGAGAAACAUGCUUUCCCACCCCUCACCCUUCUGCCCUGUAUACCACCUCCACCCUGUCCCGACGAGCCACAUUGCACUGCUUGGCUAGAGAGCCACUACCCCACAACCACCCUGGGUCUUCCCCACCCACACCAGCUGGCUCCUUCAAUGCCAUUUUUUCACCUUUCUUCCUUUUCUUUCUCCCUCCCACCUCGCCCAUAUGGCACCUCCACCCCUUUCCAAUGGGCCAUGCUGUGCCACUCAGCUAGAGAGCCACUGGCCUGCUGCCACCCACCAGCUCCCCUUGCACUGCCAUUUUAUUUUUCUUUUUUCUGUUCUUACUUUUCUUUCACCCUCCUACCUAGCCCUGUAGGCCACCUCUGCCCUUCCUGCCAGCCCCCACAGUGCCACUGCAGAUAGAGUGCCACCGGUAAGCUAGCCCACUGCUGCCCCACGUCUGCCCUGCCCCCACCCACCAUGCCACUGGACCAACAUCAGGAGGCAGACAGUGCCUGCCCGGUCUGCUCUCAGUCACCUAGCCAAGUCAGUUACAUACAGCAAAGUGGGUUCAUCCUGCCUGCUGCUGCCCUGCCCACUUGGACAAAGUGGUGAGAGUUACCAUGUCCACAGACAAGCAAGCAGCAAACAUACCUGUCCAACACCCCCCUGACGUAUUGAAACAAAACAAAAAAGUAGGAUGAAACAAAUUAAGACACAAUCAAUAAAUAAAGAAAUAAUGCCUUAAUGUCUUGGAGACAGCAGACAAUAUCAAAAUAUAUAAUAAAGCAGGACAAGAUGGCUCUGGCUAGUGACCAAAAUAAAGAAUCAGAUGACGUUCAGGGAGAAGAAAAGGCAGUGGAGCUACCUGAUAUGGAAUUCAAAAGGCUAGUAUUGAGACCAGAACUAGUUGGUGCCCAGCCACAAUCGAUGACUGCCCUGACAGGGAGCACAAUAGAGAACCCCUGAGGGAGCAGGAGAUCAGUGGGAUGCAGACCCCAGAUUCUCAUAAAAAGACCAUACUUAAUGGUCUGACUGUGACUAGAGGAGUCCCGGCGGUCACGGUCCCCAAACCUUCUGUUGGCACAGGACAGGAACCAUCCCCGAAGACAACUCAUCAGACAUGAAAGGGACUGGACAGUGGGUAGGAGAGAGAUGCUGAUGAAGAGUGGGCUAAUUAUAUCAGGUGGACACUUGAGACUGUGUUGGCAUCUCCUGUCUGGAGGGGGGAUGGGAGGAUAGAGAGAGUUGGAAGCUGGCAAAAUUGUCACGAAAGGAGAGACUGGAAGGGCUGACUCAUUAGGGGGAGAGCAAGUGGGAGUAAGGAGUAAGAUGUAUAUUAACUUAUAUGUGACAGAAUGACUUGAUUUGUAAACGUUCACUUGAAGCUCAAUGAAAGUUAAAAAAAAAAGGCUAGUAUUUAGGGCUCUCCAAGAGAUUAGGAAAAAGAUCAAGGAAAACAUAGAAAAAACCAAGAAAAAAAUAGACAAAAUUAUGGAAAACACUGACAAAACUAAGGAUGGUGCAGGACAGACAAUGUUUUGUUCUGGUGUACAUAAGGUCGCUAUGAGUCAGAACCAACUCAACGGCACCUAACAACAGUAACAACAACAACAUAUUCUUUGUAUGAGAAGCAAGUAAUAUAACACAUAUAAUACAUGUAAAAACAAAACAAAACCCAUGGCCAUAGAGUCGAUUCUGACUCAUAGUGACCCGAUAGGAUAGAGUUGAACUGCCCCGUAGAGUUUCCAAGGAGCAGCUGGUGGAUUCGAACUGCUGACCUUUUGGUUAGCAGCUGUAGCGCUUAACUACUAUGCCACCAGAGUUUCCAAAUACAUGUGAAGUACUUAGCAAAGCCUAACACACAAUAAGUGCUAUGUAAAUAUUAGGUAUUGUUGUCUUGGGUGUUGAAAAUGUCUCAAUAAACCCUCAAAGCAACACCAAUACUAAUUCACCCCAACUCCAAUCACACAGUAUGGCUACCACAAAGAAAUGGAUCCAAUAAAGCUCCUAGUAUACUGGAUGAAAUUUUAGGGAGGGUGAGUUCAAGUUUAAUGUGGGCCAGGUGGUUCAAUUUUGUGUGUGUGAUUGCACAGUCCCUCCCAGGAAGCCAAGAUUCUGGUCUGGCCUUCUUGUCAGGUAAAACCAAAAAAAAAAAAAAAAAAAAAAAAACCAGUGCCAUUGAGUCGAUUCCGACAUAUAGCGACACUAUAGGACAGAGUAGACCUGUUCUAUAGGGUUUCCAAGGAGCAUCUGGUAGAUUCGAACUGCCAGCCUUUCGAGUAAAGCCUUUCUUACUUUGUCGUUGAUCUAAUUUGGGGCUUAUGGUUCAUUUACUGUGUCAAAAUAAGAAAGGCUUAAUCCAAAUGUUCUUAAUCCCUUGCCUGGAAACCUUGGUGGCGUAGUGGUUAAGAGCUACAGCUGCUAACCAAAAGGUUGGCAGUUUGAACCCACCAGGCACUCCUUGGAAACCCUGAAGGGGCAGUUCUACUCUGUCCUAUAGGGUCACUAUGAGUUGGAAUCGACUCAACAGCAACAGGUUUGGUUUUGGAAUCCCUCGUCUGGCCUUGGCUUUGCAAUCAGCACGGCCCCUGCCAGGUGUGUGGGCACAGCACAGAGGCUAUAAGACAUGUGAGAAUUCCACAAUGGCCCCCAUCUCAGCAUCUGCUCCAGGCCUGGAGUCAGACUGCCUAACUUGAAAUCCUGGUUCUGCCAUUUGCUAGCAGCGUGACCUUAAACAAAUUGCUUAACCUCUGGGCCUCAGUUUCCUCAUCUCUAAAAUGGACAUUAUUAAUAGUUCCUACGAAAAGAUUUUUAUGAAAAGAAUAUUAUGUUUGGUAAAGUAGAGGGGUCAGAGAAAAUGAGGGAAAUCUUCAAUGAGAUGGAUUGACACAACAGCCACAAUGAUCGACUCAAACAUACCAAUGAUAAUGAAGAUGGCUCGGGACCAGGCAAUGUUUUGUUCUGUUAUACAUAAAGUCGCCACGAGUCAGAGCUGACUUGACAGCAACUAACAACAACAACAAUAGUACCUAUCUCAUAGGGUUGUUGAGAGAAUGAAAUGUAAAGGGCUUAGAAGAGUACCUGAUAUAGAGUAAUGACUCCAUGGAUGUUAGCCACACCUAUUAAUUUCCAUUCUUUUUAAUUCUCACAAUAAUCUGAAGGACAGGUAUUCUUAUCUCCUGGUCAGGAAUCUGAGGCUCAGAGAAGUCACACAGCUGCUUGGCAGCAAAGCCAGGAUUCACUCCCAGGCCUAAAGGACCCCAAACAACCCUGAGUAACUGAAAUAAAAGACCUAGAGACUAGAAGAAUGACAUAUAGUAGACUGAGGACAAUCUAGGAUGGUAUAAAAAUUCUUAAUAAAUGUCCCAGAACAAUGAUUCCAGGUGGUGGGAAAGUUCAGAGACAGGUGCACUCAGUGAGGGCUGAGAGGUUGCAUGAGGCUGUGAGCAGGACGUGGGCCUGAACUGGGACUGGAAAGAUGAGCAGGAUUCAGGUGAGAGAACAGAGGAGGGUGUCCUCCAGCUAUCAGCUAAGGCAGGGGCUCAGUGUCAGCACCAAGAGCAGGACAUAGCUGAUGGAUGGAAGAGAGCAUCUCUAAGGAGGCAGAUGUGCACGGAGUGAAUGAACUACACUGGAGAGUGAGUAACAGGAGAUUGCCAAGUGGUAAAACAAAGCCGGAUUUAUUACCAGCCAAGGGGAUGCUCCAGCCACAGUGGACACGUAGGUCCCAGUGACGUGUGUGAGAUUCGGAGGCUGACAAGGGUAGUGUUUGAGUAACUCAGGCAUGAAGAAACAAAGGAGGAACCAGACUGGAGGUCAUGGAUGGACAAUAAAGGGCUCUGUGGUGAGCAAAGGCAUGAAGGUGGGGGCGGCGGUGACCUCAGCCUCUCAGUUCUGAGUGAACAGAAGCACCCGAGCUCCUGGGGCAGAUGCUGGUGGCAUCUCAGCCAUCGGUGUUGAUUGGGGCUCCCACAGCUGCGUGCCUGGUAUGCAGCCUUAGUUGUGGCCGUGACCCUGCCCUGGUGGCCAUGCUCUGGGCCACCCAACUCUGCUCAUUCUGUCUUACAGAGCAGAAAUGGUGAACAGGGACCUAGUCCCCACUCCCCCAGUGGGAAGACUCAGGAAGGAAGAAAGGAAGGAAGGUGGGCCAGCUGCAGUGGUGGGGACAGAUGCAGGCAAGGAACAGAAAGCAGAGCUGUGGAGGUUGUGUAAAAGGCAGCAGCAGAUAGUCCCCUUGGGAGCCCCGUCUGAGGGGAGAUAGGGAUGUGGUUCAGGGUGGAAGCUGAGGACAAGGCACAGACCCCAGCUGUCUGGGAGAGGUGUUUUGAGUCUAUAUACUUAAUAGCUUAGAAAUUCCCUUUGUGUGUUUAUUCCACCUUUGCAGGGCCCUAUAAACAGGGGCUGGUGUGCAGACAUGGGGGACAUAGUCCUGACUCUGCCACUAGCUGGUGGGUGACCUUGGGGAGUCACUUUGCUUCUCUAGCCUCCAGUUUACUAUCUGUAAGACAAGAGGCCUGGAUUGGUUGAUCUUUCAGGACUUUCCCAAUUUUAAAAUACCCUGAGUUCAGGUUUCAUUGCUUUACUCUUAGUGCCACGUGGCAGGAACAAUGUCAAACACAGUUCUCCUCAUGUUAGCUUAGCUAAUACCACCAGGGGAGAUGGAAAAUCAGGUAAAUACUGUUUCACUGAGGACACCAGGGCAGGGGAAAGGCAGUGUUAUACUUCGCUUCUUUAAGUCAGAAUUGACUCCAUGGCAAAGAAAUGUUUUUUUGUUUUUUGUUUUAGUGGACUAAGGGUUUUUAUGCAUAUCUUGUGCUUCCACGCUGGGUAUUUAUCCAAGAAUCCCUGUCCAAGUACUUUCUUUUGCCCUGGAGUCUUUUUUAUGUGAGUGGAUCCUUCCUACCCUUGUAUCUCUAGGAAAUCCUAACAGACCCACUGCCAUCGAAUCAAUUCUGACUCAUAGUGACCUUACAGGAAAAUGAUAGUCAGUUCACCGGAGGAGAUCAGACCUGCCCCUUUUAUAGUUGCUGUGAUCUCUGUGAGUGACAUCAGUGGUGGGAGGAGAAGGCGGACUUCCUGGGGAUAUCACAACAGAUCCUGGAUAUCAGGUCCCAAGGGUAUGAGAAGAGAGGCCUUGUUCAGUUCUGACGCUUCAGGGGUUUCUGGAGUGACCAGAGGGGCUUCUUCAAUGCCCCUGGUAGAUUCUGGGGGCACAAAGACAGACCCAUUGAGAGCCAGAACUCAGGUUUCAAAAAUACAGCCCCAGGAGGCUGUUCAGCUAAUGAAAGCUCAGGAACUGGGAAGCAGGUUCUGGUGCUAAUGCCAGUGGCUCCAGUGCCGUCAGGAUAAUGAGAAAUGGCCCAGAAGAGUAUAAGGAUCUCGGCCCGGGUCAAAGGAGGAAUAGUGGAAUGGGGGCCGGGGGUAGGUUUUCCUGUGAGCGGCUGCAGUAACUUUGGACAGGUUACUUAACUUCCCUGAGAUAUAUUUUUCUUAUCUGCAACAUGGACAUAAUAAAUUCUACAUAAUGAUGCUAGUGGGAAGAUCAGAUAAGACAAUGUCUGUCAAGAGCUUAACGUCAUGCCUGGAGCAGAGUAAAUACUUGAUACUGUUGGAUGUUUUCCCUUCUGACAGCAGUGCUAGCUGCCUGGCGGGGGGAGCGGUGAUACACUCUGCUCAGUAGAUGUGAGGUCCCUGCAACGUCUGCUCCUUGGAGACUAAGGGAAGAAAGCAGGUGUCUGAGGUCAAGAAAGAGAACACUUCAAGCAUCACGGAGAUUGGAAGAUGCAACUUCUUAAAGCAGGGAAAGAGCCAUAAAAAAGAUUCCAACAGAGGUGUGACAUGAAAAGAGCUGCAUUUCAAAAAGAUAUCUCUGGUGGAGAGGACCGCACGGAUUUGGAAAUUAAGGAGGCUAAUUAGAGCUUGUCUGUACUAAGACAGAGGAUGAGGGAAAAGGAGAAUCCCCCAAGGUGCCUGGAUUAGGCAAGAGGAUGAAUAAAUGAUGAAUGCUACCUGCGUUUCAGUCAAGUACCAAAUAGAGUAAGACGAGAGGCCCUGGGUGAGAAGAUGAACGAGGAGAGCAUGAUGAGUUCAGGUGAGUAUGAGGUGUCUGGGACAUUCAGAAGACAUGUCCAUCCUGAAGUCAGAUAUAUGAGUCUACUUAUGUUUCAGAGGAUUGACUCCAAGCUCCUAACAUCUGUGUCCAGCAUUUGCAGUGCUGUUGGUUCAUCUACAAAGUGAUAAAUAUUCCUGCUCAUCCCCCAGGACUCGAAGUAAAUGUCACCUUCUUCCAGAGACCUUUCCUGAUCACGGUAGUGGUUCCCUCACUCCAUAGUGACUGUAUCACUGUGCCCCAUCAUUUUUCUUCAUUGCAGUUACCAUACUUGGAUAAAGUCCAAACUCACUAACUCAGCAUUCAAAGGCCUUCUCAGUGUGGACCCAAGCAAACAUUUUAGGCAUAAUUAACCCACUGUUAUAAAUCCACAACUGGUCCCAUUCCAAGGUCUAGCUCAUUUUCUGGGCACGGGCAGAGACAGCACUUAAGAAAAGAGCACUCAUGGAGAAUCCAGAGAAGUGGAUUCUACUCUAAUCUCUGCUGCUUACUGUCUGUGCAAACCUGAGCAGUCCUCAUCAUCACUGUAUGCUUCAUGGUCUCCAAUAAAAUGAGAAGAUUGGAUUACCCAGGAUUUUGCAGCUCUUAAUUCUAUUUCUGUAUAUCCUGAUUCAUAGCAUUUCAGGCAAUACUACUUACUGGUUAUUGAUUACAAAAAAAAAAAAAACACUGCCGUCAAGUCAAUUCCAACUCAUAGCGACCCUACAGGACAGAGUAGAACUGCCGCACAGGGUUUCCAAGGAGCACCUGUCCGAUUCGAACUGCUGACCUUUUGGUUAGCAGCCCUAGUAUUUAACCACUACGCCACCAGGGUUUCUGUUUAUUGAUUACCAAAAACCAAGCCCACUGCCGUUGAGUGGAUUCGGACUCACAGCGACCCUAUAGGACUGUAGAACUGCUCUACUGAGUUUCCAAGGAGUGCCUGGCGGAUUCGAACUGCCGACCUCUUGGUUAACAGUCCUAGCACUUAAC